AACGAACGCUGGCGGCAUGCCUAACACAUGCAAGUCGAACGAGACCUUCGGGUCUAGUGGCGCACGGGUGCGUAACGCGUGGGAACCUGCCCUUAGGUUCGGAAUAACUCCCCGAAAGGGGUGCUAAUACCGGAUAAUGUCUUCGGACCAAAGAUUUAUCGCCUUUGGAUGGGCCCGCGUUGGAUUAGCUAGUUGGUAGGGUAAAAGCCUACCAAGGCGACGAUCCAUAGCUGGUCUGAGAGGAUGAUCAGCCACACUGGGACUGAGACACGGCCCAGACUCCUACGGGAGGCAGCAGUGGGGAAUAUUGGACAAUGGGCGAAAGCCUGAUCCAGCAAUGCCGCGUGAGUGAUGAAGGCCUUAGGGUUGUAGAGCUCUUUUACCCGGGAUGAUAAUGACAGUACCGGGAGAAUAAGCUCCGGCUAACUCCGUG
rnacentral:rRNA from 1 species